rnacentral:rRNA from 1 species
AACGAACGCUGGCGGCAUGCCUAACACAUGCAAGUCGAACGGACUGUAGCAAUACAGUCAGUGGCGAACGGGUGAAUAACGCGUGGGAACCUACCUCGGAGUUCGGAAUAACCGCGGGAAACUGCGGCUAAUACCGGACACGGCCUGCGGGCGAAAGGAGCAAACCGCUCCGGGAGGGGCCCGCGUCCGAUUACCUAGUUGGUGGGGUAACGGCCUACCAAGGCGAUGAUCGGUAGCUGGUCUGAGAGGAUGAUCAGCCACACUGGAACUGCGACACGGUCCAGACUCCUACGGGAGGCAGCAGUGGGGAAUAUUGGACAAUGGGGGAAACCCUGAUCCAGCAAUGCCGCGUGGGUGAUGAAGGCCUUCGGGUUGUAAAGCCCUUUCGGCGGGGACGAUGAUGACGGUACCCGCAGAAGAAGCCCCGGCUAACUUCGUGCCAGCCGCCGCGGUAACAC